GACGAACGCUGGCGGCGUGCUUAACACAUGCAAGUCGAACGAAGAGCGAUGGAAGCUUGCUUCUAUCAAUCUUAGUGGCGAACGGGUGAGUAACGCGUAAUCAACCUGCCCUUCAGAGGGGGACAACAGUUGGAAACGACUGCUAAUACCGCAUACGAUCUAAUCUCGGCAUCGAGGAAAGAUGAAAGGUGGCCUCUAUGUAUAAGCUAUCACUGAAGGAGGGGAUUGCGUCUGAUUGGCUAGUUGGAGGGGUAACGGCCCACCAAGGCGAUGAUCAGUAGCCGGUCUGAGAGGAUGAACGGCCACAUUGGGACUGAGACACGGCCCAGACUCCUACGGGAGGCAGCAGUGGGGAAUCUUCCGCAAUGGACGAAAAUCUGACGGAGCAACGCCGCGUGAGUGAUGACGGCCUUCGGGUUGUAAAGCUCUGUUAAUCGGGACGAAAGGCCUUCUUGCGAACAGUUAGAA
rnacentral:rRNA from 1 species